rnacentral:rRNA from 1 species
UACGUAGGGAGCAAGCGUUGUCCGGAAUCAUUGGGCGUAAAGCGCGCGUAGGCGGCCCGAUAAGUCCGCUGUGAAAGUCAAGGGCUCAACCCUUGAAUGCCGGUGGAUACUGCAGGACUAGAGUCCGGAAGAGGCGAGUGGAAUUCCUGGUGUAGCGGUGAAAUGCGCAGAUAUCAGGAGGAACACCGAUGGCGAAGGCAGCUCGCUGGGACGGUACUGACGCUGAGACGCGAAGCGUGGGGAGCAAACAGG